UCGAGAAUCUUCCGCAAUGGGCGAAAGCCUGACGGAGCGACACCGCGUACAGGAUGAAGGCCUUCGGGUUGUAAACUGUUGUCACGCUAUAGGAAUGGCUUGGCGUUAAUAGCGUCAGGAUUGACUAAAGCGAGAGGAAGCACCGGCUAACUCUGUGCCAGCAGCCGCGGUAAGACAGAGGGUGCAAACGUUGUUCGGAAUCACUGGGCAUAAAGCGCACGUAGGCGGUUUGAUAAGUCAGAUGUGAAAGCCCCCGGCUCAACCGGGGAACUGCAUUUGAAACUGUCUGACUCGAGGACGGUAGGGGUGAGUGGAACUCCAGGUGGAGCGGUGAAAUGCGUAGAUAUCUGGAGGAACACCGGUGGCGAAAGCGGCUCACUGGACCGUAUCUGACGCUGAGGUGCGAAAGCUAGGGUAGCAAACGGGAUUAGAUACCCCCGUAGUCC
rnacentral:rRNA from 1 species